rnacentral:rRNA from 1 species
AGUGAACGCUGGCGGUGGGCUUAACACAUGCAAGUCGAACGGCAGCACACUAAGAGUUUGCGCUUACGGGGGGGCGGUGGCGUGCGGAAGAGGAAUGCAACGUAACCUACUUUUUGGUGGGGCUUAAGGAAGGGAAACUUACGCUAGUACCGCUUCCGCCCUACGGGUGAAAGCGGGGGAUCUUCGGACCUUGCGCGGUUGAACGCGCCGAUGUCGGAUUAGCUAGUUGGCGGGGUAAUGGCCAACCAAGGCGACGAUCCGUAGCUGGACUGGGAGGAUGAUCAGCCACACUGGAACUGAGACACGGUCCAGACUCCUACGGGAGGCAGCAGUGGGGAAUAUUGGACAAUGGGCGCAAGCCUGAUCCAGCCAUACCGCGUGUGUGAAGAAGGCCUUCGGGUUGUAAAGACCUUUUGUUGGGAAAGAAAAGCAGCAGGUUAAUACCCCGCUGUUGUGACGGUACCCAAAGAAUAAGCACCGGCUAACUUCGUG